rnacentral:rRNA from 1 species
AACGGAAUGCUUAGGCAUUUAGUGGCGGACGGGUGAGUAACGCGUGAGAAUUUGGCUUCAGGUCGGGGACAACAGUUGGAAACGACUGCUAAUACCGGAUAUGCCGGAAGGUGAAAGAUUUAUUGCCUGGAGAUAAGCUCGCGUCUGAUUAGCUAGUUGGUGGGGUAAGAGCCUACCAAGGCGACGAUCAGUAGCUGGUCUGAGAGGAUGAUCAGCCACACUGGGACUGAGACACGGCCCAGACUCCUACGGGAGGCAGCAGUGGGGAAUUUUCCGCAAUGGGCGAAAGCCUGACGGAGCAAUACCGCGUGAGGGAGGAAGGCUCUUGGGUCGUAAACCUCUUUUCUCAGGGAAGAAAAAAAUGACGGUACCUGAGGAAUAAGCAUCGGCUAACUCCGUGCCAGCAGCCGCGGUAAUACGGAGGAUGCAAGCGUUAUCCGGAAUGAUUGGGCGUAAAGGGUCUGUAGGUGGUGCUGUAAGUCUGCUGUUAAAGAGUCACGCUCAACGUGAUAAAAGCAGUGGAAACUACAGGACUAGAGUGCGUUCGGGGCAGAAGGAAUUCCUGGUGUAGCGGUGAAAAUGCGUAGAUAUCAGGAAGAACACCGGUGGCGAAAGCGUUCUGCUAGGCCGCAACUGACACUGAGGGACGAAAGCUAGGGGGAGCGAAUGGGGAUUAGAUACCCCAGUAGUCCUAGCCGUAAACGAUGGAUACUAGGCG